CCGGCACAAGCGGUGAGCAUGUGGUUUAAAUUCGAAGCAACGCGAAGAACCCUUACCAAGUCUUGACAUCCGGAUGACAGAGGAAGUAAUGUUCCUUUCCCUUCGGGGCAUCCGAGACAGGUGGUGCAUGGUUGUCGUCAGCUCGUGUCGUGAGAUGUUGGGUUAAGUCCCGCAACGAGCGCAACCCUUAUCUUUAGUAGCCAGCAUUUAAGGUGGGAACUCUAGAGAGACUGCCGGGGAUAACCCGGAGGAAGGUGGGGAUGACGUCAAAUCAUCAUGCCCCUUAUGAUUUGGGCUACACACGUGCUACAAUGGCGUAAACAAAGGGAAGCGACCCUGUGAAGGUGAGCAAAUCCCAAAAAUAACGUCUCAGUUCGGAUUGUAGUCUGCAACUCGACUACAUGAAGCUGGAAUCGCUAGUAAUCGCGAAUCAGAAUGUCGCGGUGAAUACGUUCCCGGGUCUUGUACACACCGCCCGUCACACCAUGGGAGUCGGAAAUGCCCGAAGUCAGUGACCUAACCGCAAGGAGGGAGCUGCCGAAGGCAGGUCGGAUAACUGGGGUGAAGUCGUAACAAGGUAGCCG
rnacentral:rRNA from 1 species